AACCUGGUUGAUCCUGCCAGUAGUCAUACGCUCGUCUCAAAGAUUAAGCCAUGCAUGUGUAAGUUCAAUGAUUUGACCAAAAAACUGCGAAUGGCUCAUUAUAUCAGUUAUAGUUUAUUUGAUAGUCCCUUACUACUUGGAUACCCGUAGUAAUUCUAGAGCUAAUACAUGCGUAAACACUCGACCUUUGGAAGAGUGGUAUUUAUUAGAUCGAAACCAACCCGUUUCGGCGGUGUCCUGGUGAUUCAUAAUAACUUUUCGGAUUGCAUUGCAACAUUUCAUUCAAGUUUCUGCCCUAUCAGCUUUGACGGUAGUGUAUUGGACUACCGAGGCUUUAACGGGUAACGGAGGAUUAGGGUUUGAUUCCGGAGAGGGAGCCUGAGAGACGGCUACCACAUCCAAGGAAGGCAGCCAAGGCCCGUAAAUUACCCAAUUCCUGAACACAGGGGAGGGUAGUUGACCAAUAAAAUAACAAAUGCCCG
rnacentral:rRNA from 1 species